rnacentral:rRNA from 2 species
GAGUGAGUGGUGAACUGGUGAGUAACACGUGGGAAACCUGCCCAGAAGCGGGGGAUAACACCUGGAAACAGAUGCUAAUACCGCAUAACAACUUGGACCGCAUGGUCCGAGCUUGAAAGAUGGCUUCGGCUAUCACUUUUGGAUGGUCCCGCGGCGUAUUAGCUAGAUGGUGGGGUAACGGCUCACCAUGGCAAUGAUACGUAGCCGACCUGAGAGGGUAAUCGGCCACAUUGGGACUGAGACACGGCCCAAACUCCUACGGGAGGCAGCAGUAGGGAAUCUUCCACAAUGGACGAAAGUCUGAUGGAGCAACGCCGCGUGAGUGAAGAAGGGUUUCGGCUCGUAAAACUCUGUUGUUAAAGAAGAACAUAUCUGAGAGUAACUGUUCAGGUAUUGACGGUAUUUAACCAGAAAGCCACGGCUAACUACGUGCCAGCAGCCGCGGUAAUACGUAGGUGGCAAGCGUUGUCCGGAUUUAUUGGGCGUAAAGCGAGCGCAGGCGGUUUUUUAAGUCUGAUGUGAAAGCCUUCGGCUCAACCGAAGAAGUGCAUCGGAAACUGGGAAACUUGAGUGCAGAAGAGGACAGUGGAACUCCAUGUGUAGCGGUGAAAUGCGUAGAUAUAUGGAAGAACACCAGUGGCGAAGGCGGCUGUCUGGUCUGUAACUGACGCUGAGGCUCGAAAGUAUGGGUAGCAAACAGGAUUAGAUACCCUGGUAGUCCAUACCGUAAACGAUGAAUGCUAAGUGUUGGAGGGUUUCCGCCCUUCAGUGCUGCAGCUAACGCAUUAAGCAUUCCGCCUGGGGAGUACGGCCGCAAGGCUGAAACUCAAAGGAAUUGACGGGGGCCCGCACAAGCGGUGGAGCAUGUGGUUUAAUUCGAAGCUACGCGAAGAACCUUACCAGGUCUUGACAUACUAUGCAAAUCUAAGAGAUUAGACGUUCCCUUCGGGGACAUGGAUACAGGUGGUGCAUGGUUGUCGUCAGCUCGUGUCGUGAGAUGUUGGGUUAAGUCCCGCAACGAGCGCAACCCUUAUUAUCAGUUGCCAGCAUUAAGUUGGGCACUCUGGUGAGACUGCCGGUGACAAACCGGAGGAAGGUGGGGAUGACGUCAAAUCAUCAUGCCCCUUAUGACCUGGGCUACACACGUGCUACAAUGGAUGGUACAACGAGUUGCGAACUCGCGAGAGUAAGCUAAUCUCUUAAAGCCAUUCUCAGUUCGGAUUGUAGGCUGCAACUCGCCUACAUGAAGUCGGAAUCGCUAGUAAUCGCGGAUCAGCAUGCCGCGGUGAAUACGUUCCCGGGCCUUGUACACACCGCCCGUCACACCAUGAGAGUUUGUAACACCCAAAGUCGGUGGGGUA